UGUAGAAGUAGUAGCCACAUUGGUGAU
rnacentral:piRNA from 1 species